UACAGAGGGGGCAAGCGUUGUUCGGAAUCACUGGGCGUAAAGGGCGCGUAGGCGGACGUUAAGUCGGGGGUGAAAUCCUGAGGCUCAACCUCAGAAUUGCCUUCGAUACUGGGCGUCUCGAGACCGGAAGAGGUGAGUGGAACUGCGAGUGUAGAGGUGAAAUUCGUAGAUAUUCGCAAGAACACCAGUGGCGAAGGCGGCUCACUGGUCCGGUUCUGACACUGAGGCGCGAAAGCGUGGGGAGCAAACAGG
rnacentral:rRNA from 1 species